rnacentral:rRNA from 1 species
GUAGGGAAUAUUGGGCAAUGGAUGAAAGUCUGACCCAGCCAUGCCGCGUGCCGGAUGAAGGCGCUCAGCGUUGUAAACUGCUUUUAACCGGGAAGAAACCCCAGGACGUGUCCUGGGUUGACGGUACCGGAGGAAUAAGCACCGGCUAACUUCGUGCCAGCAGCCGCGGUAAUACGAAGGGUGCAAGCGUUAUCCGGAUUCAUUGGGUUUAAAGGGUGCGUAGGCGGAGCGUUAAGUCAGUGGUGAAAUCCUGCAGCUUAACUGUAGACUUGCCAUUGAUACUGGCGCUCUUGAGUGCGCUUGAAGUGGGCGGAAUGUGCCGUGUAGCGGUGAAAUGCUUAGAUAUGGCACAGAACACCAAUUGCGAAGGCAGCUCACUAAGGCGAUACUGACGCUGAGGCACGAAAGCGUGGGGAUCGAACAGGAUUAGAAACCCGGGUAGUCC